GGGCCAUUUUAGGGCCAUUUAGGGCCAUUUGUGGCCAUUUAGGGCCAUUUGGGGUCCAUUUGAAGCCAUUUAGGGUCACUUUGGGGUCCCAUAGGGUCCCAUAGGGCCAAUUUGGGGCCAUUUGGGGUCACUUUGGGUUCCCAUAGGGUCCCAUAGGGCCAAUUUGUGGCCAUUUAGGGCCAUUUGGGAUCAUUUUGGGGCCAUUUAGGGUCACUUUGGGGUCCCAUAGGGUCCCAUAGGGUCAUUUGGGGCCAUUUGGGGCCAUUUAGGGUCAUUUAGGGUCACUUAAUGACACUUUGGGGUCCCAUAGGGUCCCAUAGGGUCAUUUGGGGCCAUUUGGGGUCANUUUGGGGCCAUUUAGGGCCAUUUAGGGUCAUUUUGGGGCCAUUUGUGGCCAUUUUGGGUCAUUUAGGGCCAAUUUGGGGCCAUUUAGGGUCACUUUGGGGUCCCAUAGGGUCCCAUAGGGUCAAUUUGGGACCAUUUAGGGCCAUUUGGGGUCACUUUGGGUUCCCAUAGGAUCCCAUAGGGCCAUUUGGGGUCAUUUUAGGGCCAUUUGGGGUCAUUUUGGGGCCAUUUGUGGCCAUUUAGGGCCAUUUAGGUUCAUUUUGUGGCCAUUUGUGGCCAUUUAGGGCCAUUUAGGGCCAAUUUGGGGCCAUUUAGGGUCACUUUGGGGUCCCAUAGGGUCCCAUAGGGUCCUAUAGUGCCAUUAGGGGUCACUUUUGGGUCAAUUUAGGGUGAUUUUGGGGUCCCUUUUAGGGUCACUCACAUGCAAUGACUGCGAUCCCGGUGACGAACAGAGCGGCCGCCACCACCAAACCCCAUUGACGAAGGGAGGAGUAAUCUGGGGGCGG
rnacentral:lncRNA from 1 species